CCUACGGGAGGCAGCAGGGAGGAAUAUUGGUCAAUGGACGAGAGUCUGAACCAGCCAAGUAGCGUGAAGGAUGACUGCCCUAUGGGUUGUAAACUUCUUGUAUAGGGGAAUAAAACAGGGUAGGCAUACCCUCUUGUAUGUACCAUAUGAAUAAGGAGCGGCUAACUCCGUGCCAGCAGCCGCGGUAAUACGGAGGAUCCGAGCGUUAUCCGGAUUUAUGGGGGUUAAAGGGAGCGUAGGGGGAUUGUUAAGUCAGUUGUGAAAGUUUGCGGCUCAACCGUAAAAUUGCAGUUGAAACUGGCAGUCUUGCGUCCAGUAGAGGUGGGCGUAAUUCGUGGUGUAGCGGU
rnacentral:rRNA from 1 species